rnacentral:rRNA from 1 species
UACCGGCAGCCCGAGUGAUGGCCGCUAUUAUUGGGCCUAAAGCGUCCGUAGCCGGCCGGACAAGUCCGUUGGGAAAUCCGUUCGCUCAACGAACGGGCGUACAGCGGAAACUGUGCGGCUUGGGACAGGAAGGCACGAGGGGUACGUUCGGGGUAGGAGUGAAAUCCCGUAAUCCUGAACGGACCGCCGAUGGCGAAAGCACCUCGAGAGGACUGAUCCGACAGUGAGGGACGAAAGCUGGGGUCUCGAACCGG